rnacentral:hammerhead_ribozyme from 1 species
AUUCAGCUGAUGAGUCCUAAAUAAGAUGAAACGCGACUCCUGGAU